GUUUCUUGUGUAAGCUGAAAGACGCGAUAGCUAUUGCUCCAAAUGUGUUUUUGUAUGUGUCUAUAAAAGAAGCGCAGAAUGAUUGGAAUAUCACUUCUUUGCAGCGUUCAGGGUAUCUCCCAGUCGAGUAGUUUCGAAUACUGCUUUUAACUGAUGAAUUUAAUGACUUUUUAAUAUACAUAAAAUUUGUAAGCUAAUGCUGAUCCCUAGACCAAUCGACUAUGGAAAUGGAAACAGAACUAAUAUUUCGUUCGGUUUGUCAACAUGGGAUGUGCAUUUAUCGUAGUAUUUCUCAUACAAAUGAGUUUGGUGGGAAGUUUUUUUAAAUUUCUGAAUGUAGAGUGCGACAUCAUGGAUCCACAAAUUAUAGCUACAGAAGAAUGCCGUAUAAGAGCCUUCAAUCGCUCUGAAAAUUACUUAAAUAUUAUAGCCAAUUUGGAGCAAAGAGUCACAAAAGUAAGCAAAUUCACUUCAAAUAUCAAUUCUAUUCACAUAAAUAUUUCAUCUUUUUUCCAGCUCAAAGUUUCAUUUCGAUUUAUUAAGCGCGAACGGGGAGGUUGACAUCCGUUCCUAUAUGCAAUGAGCGUUGAUGUGUGUAAAUUCUUUGACGGCUCCUUUAAAAAUCCGUUGACCACGAUAAUCUACGAUUAUUUAGUGGCGUACACGAAUCUCAAUCAUAGCUGUCCCUAUUUGGUAUUUCGAACAAUUAUUUAAACCUACUCUGCUUCUUUUAAAUGCAGUCUAUUUUGUUUAGAAAAAUUCCUAUCUCAAAUUACUUCGACUCAAUCUAAAUGAACUGGAUAUACUUAGUCGAUUUCCACUCGAAGAAGGUGUAUAUGGUGCUCAAUCAUCGUGGUACAGCAAUAACAAAUUGAUCCUUCAUCUGAAUGGGUUGGCGUCUUUAACUAAGUCUUACAAAAAGCAUUAACAAUAUAGUUAAGUAUGAAAAUUGUAUAUACCACUUUUCAUAAGUAUUUAAACAGAAUUCAAAAUAUUUUUUGCAGAAUGCAGAUACCGAAGACCUUGGCUAAUGUUGUAUAUUGUUCUGCAGACGGCAAACAGUAUAUACAUCUUGAUAAGAAUAACUAGCUUGGUCAAAUUAAUUACAAAAAAUGUUUUUUAUGUGUCUAUAUAAAUAAAUUUGUAUACCCUGAAAUCAGUGUAUAUUUUUCUGAAAAUCUAUGCAAAGGCUACAGCAGGCGUGACAGACUCCAUAAAGUAUAUAUAUUUUUGCGACGCGCUGAAUCGAUAUAGCCACGUCCGCCCGUUGAUAUGAAAUUUUGCAUGUAUACCAUACGCAGUACAAUUUAUCAUAACUUUUCAAGAACUUAUCCGAUUUCCUUGAUAAAGGAAUUUAGUUUUUUAGCGUAAUUUUAAUACGUUUAAACCUGGAGACUUCAGAUUUACUGUGUAUAUACAUUUGAUAUGAUAUGAUAUGAAAAUUAUGUAAUUUACGCAUUUUAAGUACUACUAUUCAACAACAAAAAUUUCAUAUUAUAGUCCACACCGCAGCUCAAGCGCAGUCGGUGCUUACUGCGCAUAAAAGAAGCGCAGAAUGAUUGGAAUAUCACUUCUUUGCAGCGUUCAGGGUAUCUCCCAGUCGAGUAGUUUCGAAUACUGCUUUUAACUGAUGAAUUUAAUGACUUUUUAAUAUACAUAAAAUUUAUAAGCUAAUGCUGAUCCCUAGACCAAUCGACUAUGGAAAUGGAAACAGAAGUAAUAUUUCGUUCGGUUUGUCAACAUGGGAUGUGCAUUUAUCGUAGUAUUUCUCAUACAAAUGAGUUUGGUGGGAAGUUUUUUUAAAUUUCUGAAUGUAGAGUGCGACAUCAUGGAUCCACAAAUUAUAGCUACAGAAGAAUGCCGUAUAAGAGCCUUCAAUCGCUCUGAAAAUUACUUAAAUAUUAUAGCCAAU